AUGAGUACUAUAUUCUUUGACAAUUAUACGGCAGCUGAAGUAGGGGCAUUGAGGAAUGAAGGAUACCUCCAAAUUUUUAUAUUAAUAGGUACUGUCAUUUUUGUAAUCCUCAAUACUAUAUUUAGAGAUGAAAAAAUAAGAAAAAUUGAGGAUAAAAUGCAAGCCCAAUUAGAAGAUCUAAAAAGUCUCUUACAGGAUCAAUUGACAAACAACCACUCUACCAGAAACAGACCUGUUUCUGAACCUUUGAAUGAGGAAAUUUCCUUCCCUGAAAUAGAGAUGGAAAACACCUUCCCUAUAGCCCAGUUAACAGACUGCUUCUCUCGUGCAGUGCAAAUCUUGUCUGAAUUUAAUCCCCAAAACCCUUCCCCUGCAAUCCCAGCUUCUCAUGUUCCUUCUCCUACAGAAAACCAAAUUCCAAUGCAAGAGAGAUCUUGUCCUCCUAGAAAAACCUGUUCUUGUCAAACUGACCCACAGGUGCAAAAUUCAACUAGAGGCCUGUUUCCUCUAAGAGAAGUACCUGAAAUAGGACGAAAUGGGGAUGUGGUGACUUUAAGACAUAGGAUACCGUUUACUCCCCAAGAAAUAAAUGAAUUUACACGAAAUAUCCCCACAUAUGAACAAGAUCCUUUUCUAGUAACAAAAAAGAUGGGAGACAUAUUUUUUCAGUACAAUCCGUCUUACAAGGACGUUGAGAGCUUACUACAGGCUUUUUUAAGUGAACGUGAAAAAAAUAAAAUAAUUGCUCAUGUCAACAAAACCAGGGGGCGUAAUGCAGCACAUUGGCCAUCUCAGGAUCCCGAAUGGGACUAUAACAAUCCUGAUGAUUAUCUACAACUAUACCGUUGUAGAGAGGCCAUCCUCACGUCCAUGAAGGAAUGUGCAGACAAUACAGAUAAGUGGAUGGAACUGGAAAAAAUUAAGCAAAAGGCCGAAGAAACACCCUCCAGAUUUAUGGACAGAAUUAUCGAGUUUGGGGACAGAUACUUAGAUUGGGACUUAACUAAAGAGAGUAGUUUAAGACAAGUUAGAAGAAUCUUUGUAAACAAUUCUUGCAAAGCAAUUAAAAAUUAUUUCAAAACACAAUGCCCAAGAUGGUCAGAUAUGGACCUUGAAGAAUUGCGAAAAACAGCUAUAUAUGUUUUAAAGGGAAACGAAGAAAAGGAGAUAGAAAAUAAUGAUGACAUGGAGGAAAUGAAGAAAAAAAUGAAAUAUUUAAUAGAUAGGAUAACUAAAUUAGAAAGUGGGCAUGAUAAUGAACCAACGACAAUUGCCCCUCUCCAGAAAUCCAAUUAUCAAUCCAUUACUUGCCACUUCUGUGAGAAGAAGGGCCACAAAAUGAUGGAAUGUAGAACCUUUCUUAAGAUGUUUGGAAGGAAUACACAGUUUAAUAAUAGUUUUAGAAAUAAUAACUAUAAUGAAUAUAGAAAUAAGAACUUUAGAAACCAGAAUUAUAGAAAUAGGAAUUGGGAAAUUAAUGACAAUGCUCAAAUUGAAGAAAAUUUUAAUGACAAUACUCAACAAUAUAUGAGAAAUGGCGCUCGUCCAAAAACUACUCAAGGUACUAAUGACCCUCAGAGAGGUGCCCUUCAGGGGGGUGCCCAAGGAAUAUCCCAAACACAAUGA
ensembl:lncRNA